GUCAAUAGUACAAUUAUAUUUCUUAUAUAUAUCCAAUCUUUACUUACUAUGGUUUUAGAUUUUAGUUCAUAAUAUUGAAUUUUUAACAAAGUAACUUUGAAAUCAUUUUCACACUUUCGUUAGCCGACCUAAUGAGAUGGUAUUUAACCUGAGGUGAAUUUAUGCACCUCAGUGUUGUUAUCUACGCUUAUAUAGUAGCUUGGUUGUUGAGGACUUCUAAUGUGCUUAUUGAGUUAAUCUUGGUGUAAAUGAGCAUCUAAAUGUUAAGUUAUGUGUUUGUAGUGUUUAAGGAUGCUUGGUUAGUUGAUAAAGAUGAUAAAUGGAUGAUACACAAGCUGGAAAACAUGAGGAAAAGUCACCACAAAGCUUGGACUUGAAGAACAAAUGCAUUGGACUAAGCUUGACGAAAUCUGAAAAAUUUGAACACAUUGGCGUACCAUGUUGCCUGGAUGGCACGAUAAAGGCAUGGCACGCCCUUAGUUACAACUCAAAUGGCACAAAACAGUGUUCCUCCGUGAUAGUGAUAGUAACGUGCCAUGGACCCUAUCCUCCGGGAUAAGGGUGUGGCAUGAAGGCUAAACAAAAUCAGGCAGCUUGGUCCUUGGACGACCUUUGGGCUUUGAAAUACGCUGGAGAAGGCUUCAAUUAGGUGUUUUAUUCUUUACUUUAGUCUAUUUUUGAAUUAUAACAUAGACUCAUCGAUUGUGAUUACGUGUAUGUCCAUGAGCGGCUAAACACUCUUUUUCGGGUUUAAGGCCAAGAACGUGAUUACUCUUGUUACGAA